GAUGAACGCUGGCGGCGUGCCUAAUACAUGCAAGUCGAGCGAACAGACGAGGAGCUUGCUCCUCUGACGUUAGCGGCGGACGGGUGAGUAACACGUGGAUAACCUACCUAUAAGACUGGGAUAACUUCGGGAAACCGGAGCUAAUACCGGAUAAUAUAUUGAACCGCAUGGUUCAAUAGUGAAAGACGGUUUUGCUGUCACUUAUAGAUGGAUCCGCGCCGCAUUAGCUAGUUGGUAAGGUGACGGCUUACCAAGGCAACGAUGCGUAGCCGACCUGAGGGGGUGAUCGGCCACACUGGAACUGAGACACGGUCCAGACUCCUACGGGAGGCAGCAGUAGGGAAUCUUCCGCAAUGGGCGAAAGCCUGACGGAGCAACGCCGCGUGAGUGAUGAAGGUCUUCGGAUCGUAAAACUCUGUUAUUAGGGAAGAACAAAUGUGUAAGUAACUAUGCACGUCUUGACGGUACCUAAUCAGAAAGCCACGGCUAACUACGUG
rnacentral:rRNA from 1 species